CAGCGUUUGUUGAUCAUUAUAUUUGUCAGUGGUGGAGGGCCGUGGCGCAUCUCGCCCGGCGUCCCCGGCCUGCUUCUGCCUCGUGAUCGUGAGAUGAGAGGUGUUUGUGAUUGACUGAGCAACAUCCACUGUCACUGUACACGUCCAUUAGCAUAAGUCUCCGAGCUGUCACUGUUUAUCCACGUACCGCCGAGGCAUGUUAUGCCGAAGACGGAGACCGGUAAUUAUGAAUAAUGAAGAAAAUAACCCUUCCUCUUCUUGCGUUCCAUCAGAACUGAUGUCAUCUUUGCCACCAGCUAUCUUGAGCGCCAGUGGUCCAGCAUCGUUUUUCGCGACGGCGACGUCCGUGACACUGAGUCGGUGGGACGUGUGCCUUCACUCUAGAUGUUUUCCCCGGGACAGAUCCUAGUCUAGUCCAGAUCCAGUCGCCAGAAGUCCAGAACCCUCCGUGUGUCACAUUCACACUCAGUCCAACAUCAUCAGAGCCACUGGGACGCUGGUCGACCAAACCCAUCAAGCUCAGCGAUCAUUUCUACAUCCCCACUUUCUUAGAGUGUAUGGCCAACGUUCCCACUUCUCACGGUGAGAGAACAUUAUCACCGUAACUACUUCACACCAUCUGCGUGUUAUAAACACACAGAAAAAGAAACCACAUGGCGAACCUCAACAAGUAACAGGGGUUUAGUGAUGGGAUGUUCACACGGCGAGCGAAAAAACGCUCCCGUCCUUGCCCCGCGAUUUGUUUUAGUUCCAACACUGGGCCCAGUUCAGUGGUUUCUGGGCAGAGGAAAGCUGGCACUGUGGGGGACAUCUGGUCGCAAGAGGGGCGCGUCCGCACCAGGCCAACUGCCGUGCCAGAGGAAGCAGGCCCCCAGA
rnacentral:lncRNA from 1 species